AUAAAGCAGCUGUUCCACAGUCAGCUGAUCUGACUAAAGACUGAUUACAUUUUCCCUUGAGUGAAUUUUAUAAACCGGUACCUUUUUAUGCCUUGUGUGCUUUUCGCUGCUGUCUAGUCAGAAGUUAUUUCUGCGUGCGUGCGUGUGUGAUCCAUUUUUCCCUGGUUGUCAAUCUACAUCUUGUAUUGUCACAUUUCUGGUUUCUAGUACAAAGUAUUGAAAUAAGUGGUUAUUAUAUUUUAGACGUUAAGACAUUCACAAAACAGUGAUCUGAAAUGUCUCUGAAUGUUUAAGAAUGAAACCUUGAUCACAACAUUGUUCAUAACCCCUUUACACAAAGCCAAUCGCUAAGAGUUUAAUAAGUCACUGCCACUCUCUACCUCAGCCUACAGUGCUGCAUCAGAUACUCUUCAGAUAUUUUUUCAGUGAUGUUGUUCGCAACACUACUAUGUACAUGUUAACCAGCUACAACUACCAGUACAGUAGCACAGCAAAGAUCUGGCCUAACUCCAGCUGGACUCAAUUGUAGCAGUAGGCCUACAAACACAUUUUCUUUCCUGUGUGAUUGGAAAUCAGAGCAUGCUUGUUUUAAGGUACUUAAACCCCAACUGAGUGACAGUUUACUCUGUUUUUGUUUCUUGCUUUUAAACUUAUUCAUGCAGAUUUGUCUAUAGUGUACAAAUCAUGGGAAAGAUGUUAGAGGAAAAGAAAAACUCCUUCCAUAAAAAAACUCCAUGAAAUGGAUUCUUAGUGUGCACCACAGUGUUUUAUUGUGUAAGUCAGUCAUAUGUCUAUUUUGUAUAUUUUUAACAUUCCUUUUGGGAUCAAUACAAAGUAAUCAUUGUGGUAAUCAUGGUUCACCUUGUUCCACUCCAAGCUGAGGUGAUGGUACGUGUUUUUUGGUAUCGACAUCAUGGUUGGUAUACAGUUGUAUUGAACACAAGGUAUUGCUUCAUGUGCUGAAGCUGUGUAUGACAUUUUAUUUUUGUCAAGUUGAUACAGAUUAUGCAUUGAUUAUACUACUACUGGUUCAGAAGGUAUAUUUGAUUUAGUGAC